AAUUUUAUAAAGAAACUUAUCCUUUUGAAAAGUCGUCAAUUAUUUUAAAUUUGCGCCAAAUAAAUUUGAAAUGGCGACAAAGAGUGCGCGCCUUUGGUGAGUCGAUAAAAACGAGCACAUGAGAACACUACAACAGUACAUGGUCAAUUUCUAUUUGGAUAAUAAUUUAGUCAAGACACAAACCUCGUAAUCGACAUACAAAUAAAAAUUCAAAUUUCUUUUCGUCCGGUUUGCAAAUUAUUUACGUAAUGUAAUGUUUCACUAUUUGAUUAAUUUCAAAUAACUUUAAUUUAUGAUUUUACUUAAAAAGAGAAAAACGUCAUAAAUUCUUAUUUUGACUUAAUCACAAAUUGAUUGCAAAAACGUAAAACGUUACAUCACACACCCAGGUUUUAUGAAAAUUUGAUCAGAUUCACUGAUCAAAUUUUCAUAACUCCCAGAUUUGUGAGCCUUAACAUCAGUACUAAAAAUUCCCUCUUGCAGUUGAAUCAAAUAAAACAGUUUUACUCAGCCUUUUUAUCCGUGAAUAGAGUGUUUACUACCUACUACACCACUACUGAAACCACGAUCAGCACAAUGGAUCUUAUCCAUCACUACCGCUGAUCGUAACUAACGUAAACCUGGCUGACUGUAUCAUCAAUCCUUGAUUGACACUUCUACAGUCAACGCUAAACAAAGCUGGAUUAUCAGAUUUCAUCAGAACAAUGUGUCUGACCCAUUUCUCUGAUAACCACGAAACUAAAUUAAAAGUUGAAUUCUAUCAUCGAAACAUUUUUUCGACCAGUCUAGAAUUUCAAAAAUAUAGCGCACAACCCUAUUCACUUCAAAUUAUAAACUGACAGCAUCUGAACUUGCAUGCAAUACAUCGCGCACAAGUUCUCACUGACAACUGACAAAACAUCGCAAUGUCAUUAUGAAUGACGUCUGCGAAAUAAACAUCGAACUGUCAGUUGUCACGACCGAAAUAAACAAAAACAACGAAAAAAAAAAACUAAGAAACUCAGUUCCUGUUGGAAAAAGUGUUCACGUUUUGGACAAGCUGCUAUCGAGGACGUCGUGGGACCGAAAAUUUCAUCUUAGUCGUCUUAAAACUGGGGAGUAUUCGGUAUAAUUUCUCUUAAUCUCUAGAAUCUAAUUAUUUCCUAUCUUUCCAGGUCAUUCAUCGUGGGAUUAUCCUAAAACCGACCUCCGUCGGGAAAAUUAAAUAGAAAACAAAUCGCAAAAAAGAUGUAAAGAUUUUUACACGCGGUAUCGUGCCAAAUUUGAUGUUCUUAACCAUCGCUAACGAAUAAUGUUCUGCAUGCUGAGCCAUUUGAAAAAAAAAACCAUAUUAAAUCUGGAAUUACUGUCGACUGUUGAUCCGGUAUUUACCCGAACCUAACAUGGAAGUGUUUCUACGAGUACUUCCUAGGACACAAGCGCCGACGGAUGCCAGUGCCUCAUAAACAGUCGACUUCAUCUAACCGAUCUUCCAAACGACAUGGCGGUCAUAUACUACAUCACGUUAAUCAUCGAUUACCCUCAAAUAUUGACGAACAUGCAGUGAACUCUUCGCACAAUCUGACCAAAGGAUUUUUUCUGUCAUCGGGUUUCGCCGCGAAAUGUAUCAGAUGAUAAUUUACAGGGAAUAUUUUGUUUCAAUUUUCACUUUUCACUUCUAACUAGCAUGUACUAAUUUUCCCAAUGUGUUUUAGGUACCGAAUUCCAUAAAACUAAAACCGAAUCUCAAUAUUUACAAUCGGAAGGACGAAGAAGGUUUGGCGUGGAGUGUACCCACUGCCUAGUAUCCACGAUCGAAGGUGGAAACGAUCCUUGCAAACGGCCGACUGGAUUUUCGGGCAACCGUUCAUCAACCGUCACAUCCAGUUACGAGCGACGCCCACCAGGUGACAACGACGACGGCACCCAUCCGGAUCGAUUUGCCGUAGCAUCGUUUGUACCAGAAGCAAAUUCCCUCCCGGCUACGGUUUCUCCUCCGAACCCGGACCUGGUUGGCCAAUGUGUCAGGAAUAGUAAAUUGAAGUAGGUAGGAUGCAAUAAAGGCGCGCGCGACUCAACGCGAGAAGCCCACCAGCCACCGUCAUCCAAAAGUGGAAAGAUUUCGCGGGGCAACAAUGAAGAAGCAGAAACCCUACCGGCGCGCCUGUUUCUGCUGUCGUAAAUUUAUAACCACACCACCAAGCCGGGCCGAACAUCGUUGCUGCAGAAGGUCUCUUCCCGCGGUACCGGUGGUGUGUAGAUUGGCCCCUUUUGUGACCACUGUGUGGUGAAGG